rnacentral:rRNA from 1 species
AAACUCUACAAUGCAGGCAACUGCGAUAGGGGAACAUCGAGUGUCCUCAUAUUGGGGGGUCUGUCCACCCGCGCGGGUGUAGCAAGGGCCGGCAAGACCGGUGCCAGCCGCCGCGGUAACACCGGCGGCCCGAGUGGUGAUCGUGAUUAUUGGGUCUAAAGGGUCCGUAGCCGGUUUGGUCAGUCCUCCGGGAAAUCUGAUAGCUCAACUAUUAGGCUUCGGGGAUACUGCCAGACUUGGAACCGGGAGAGGUAAGAGGUACUACAGGGGUAGGAGUGAAAUCUUGUAAUCCCUGUGGGACCACCUGUGGCGAAGGCGUCUUACCAGAACGGUUCGACGGUGAGGGACGAAAGCUGGGGGCACGAACCGGAUUAGAUACCCGGGUAGUCCUAGCCGUAAACGAUGCUCGCUAGGUGUCACAUGGUGCCGUAGGGAAGCCGUGAAGCGAGCCACUUGGGAAGUACGACCGCAAGGCUGAAACUUAAAGGAAUUGGC